CAGUAGGGAAGAAGCGUAAGUGACGGUACCUGCAGAAGAAGCGCCGGCUAACUACGUGCCAGCAGCCGCGGUAAUACGUAGGGCGCAAGCGUUAUCCGGAAUUAUUGGGCGUAAAGAGCUCGUAGGCGGUUUGUCGCGUCUGCUGUGAAAGACCGGGGCUCAACUCCGGUUCUGCAGUGGGUACGGGCAGACUAGAGUGCAGUAGGGGAGACUGGAAUUCCUGGUGUAGCGGUGAAAUGCGCAGAUAUCAGGAGGAACACCGAUGGCGAAGGCAGGUCUCUGGGCUGUAACUGACGCUGAGGAGCGAAAGCAUGGGGAGCGAACAGGAUUAGAUACCCUGGUAGUCCAUGCCGUAAACGUUGGGCACUAGGUGUGGGGGACAUUCCACGUUUUCCGCGCCGUAGCUAACGCAUUAAGUGCCCCGCCUGGGGAGUACGGCCGCAAGGCUAAAACUCAAAGGAAUUGACGGGGGCCCGCACAAGCGGCGGAGCAUGCGGAUUAAUUCGAUGCAACGCGAAGAACCUUACCAAGGCUUGACAUGAACCGGAAAGAUCUGGAAACAGGUGCCCCGCUUGCGGUCGGUUUACAGGUGGUGCAUGGUUGUCGUCAGCUCGUGUCGUGAGAUGUUGGGUUAAGUCCCGCAACGAGCGCAACCCUCGUUCUAUGUUGCCAGCGCGUUAUGGCGGGGACUCAUAGGAGACUGCCGGGGUCAACUCGGAGGAAGGUGGGGACGACGUCAAAUCAUCAUGCCCCUUAUGUCUUGGGCUUCACGCAUGCUACAAUGGCCGGUACAAAGGGUUGCGAUACUGUGAGGUGGAGCUAAUCCCAAAAAGCCGGUCUCAGUUCGGAUUGGGGUCUGCAACUCGACCCCAUGAAGUCGGAGUCGCUAGUAAUCGCAGAUCAGCAACGCUGCGGUGAAUACGUUCCCGGGCCUUGUACACACCGCCCGUCAAGUCACGAAAGUUGGUAACACCCGAAGC
rnacentral:rRNA from 1 species